rnacentral:tRNA from 1 species
UAGCUCAGUGGAUAAAGAACCUGCCUGCAAUGCAGGAGACCCAGGUUCAAUCCCUGG